UGUGGUGUGUGUGUGUGUGUGUGUGGUGUGUGUGUGUGUGGUGUGUGUGUGUGUGUAUACACACACACACACACCACACACACACACACACAUAUAUAUAUAUAUAUGUGUGUGUGUGUGUGUGUGUGUAUACACACACACACACAUAUAUAUAUAUAUAUGCAUAU